UACGUAGGGGGCAAGCGUUGUCCGGAAUCAUUGGGCGUAAAGCGCGUGUAGGCGGUUCGGUAAGUCUGCUGUGAAAGUCCAGGGCUCAACCCUGGGAUGCCGGUGGAUACUGUCGGGCUAGAGUACGGAAGAGGCGAGUGGAAUUCCCGGUGUAGCGGUGAAAUGCGCAGAUAUCGGGAGGAACACCAAUUGCGAAGGCAGCUCGCUGGGACGCCACUGACGCUGAGACGCGAAAGCGUGGGGAGCAAACAGG
rnacentral:rRNA from 1 species